rnacentral:rRNA from 1 species
AUUGAACGCUGGCGGCAGGCCUAACACAUGCAAGUCGAGCGGAUGAAGGGAGCUUGCUCCUGGAUUCAGCAGCGGACGGGUGAGUAAUGCCUAGGAAUCUGCCUGGUAGUGGGGGAUAACGUCCGGAAACGGGCGCUAAUACCGCAUACGUCCUGAGGGAGAAAGUGGGGGAUCUUCGGACCUCACGCUAUCAGAUGAGCCUAGGUCGGAUUAGCUAGUUGGUGGGGUAAAGGCCUACCAAGGCGACGAUCCGUAACUGGUCUGAGAGGAUGAUCAGUCACACUGGAACUGAGACACGGUCCAGACUUCUACGGGAGGCAGCAGUGGGGAAUAUUGGACAAUGGGCGAAAGCCUGAUCCAGCCAUGCCGCGUGUGUGAAGAAGGUCUUCGGAUUGUAAAGCACUUUAAGUUGGGGGGAAGGGCAGUAAGUUAAUACCUUGCUGUUUUGACGUUACCAACAGAAUAAGCACCGGCUAACUUCGUG